AUCGAUANUCCACGUUAANUUUCACUUUAUAUAAAAAUUUAUAUACCUCCAUCUUAAGAAUUAAUUUAAAAAUAUUUCUCAAAAAAAUAAAUAAAAAGUUAGGUCAAGGUGUAAUUUAUAUUAAAGAAAAAAUGAAUUACAUUAAACACUAUUUAAGGAUUAUAAAUAAAUAUAAUUAUAUAAAUAAGGAUUUAAAAGCAAUAUUAAAACAAUAUUAUAAUAUGAUAUAAAUAAUAAAUGUGUACACAUCGCCC
rnacentral:rRNA from 1 species